ACCGAAUAGAUACCCGGGUAGUCCACGCCCUAAACGAUGCGAACUGGAUGUUGGGUACAUUACGGUACUCAGUGUCGAAAGCUAAACGCGUUAAGUUCGCCGCCUGGGGAGUACGGUCGCAAGACUGAAACUCAAAGGAAUUGACGGGGGUCCCGCACAAGCGGUGGAGUAUGUGGUUUAAUUCGAUGCAACGCGAAGAACCUUACCUGGCCUUGACAUCUGUCGAAUCCUGCAGAGAUGCGGGUAGUGCCGCAAGGAACGACAAGACAGGUGCUGCAUGGCUGUCGUCAGCUCGUGUCGUGAGAUGUUGGGUUAAACGUCCCGCAACGAGCGCAACCCGUUGUCCCUAGUUGCCAGCACGUAACUGGUGGGAACUCUAGGGUAGACUGCCGGUGACAAACCCGGGUAGGAACGGUGGGGUAUGACGUCAAGUCCUCAU
rnacentral:rRNA from 1 species